rnacentral:rRNA from 1 species
UUAGAAUGAAUUGACGGGGCCGCACAAGCGGUGGAGUAUGUGGUUAAUUCGAUGCAACGCGAAAAACCUUACCUGCCCUUGACAUGUCCGGAACUUGCCAGAGAUGGCUUGGUGCCCGAAAGGGAAUCGGAACACAGGUGCUGCAUGGCUGUCGUCAGCUCGUGUCGUGAGAUGUUGGGUUAAGUCCCGCAACGAGCGCAACCCUUAUCAUUAGUUGCUACGCAAGGGCACUCUAAUGAGACUGCCGGUGACAAACCGGAGGAAGGUGGGGAUGACGUCAAGUCCUCAUGGCCCUUAUGGGUAGGGCUUCACACGUCAUACAAUGGUCGGUACAGAGGGUUGCCAAGCCGCGAGGCGGAGCCAAUCCCACAAAGCCGAUCGUAGUCCGGAUUGUUCUCUGCAACUCGAGAGCAUGAAGUCGGAAUCGCUAGUAAUCGCAGGUCAGCAUACUACGGUGAAUACGUUCCCGGGUCUU